GCUCUAGGCCCCGGGGACCCCCCUCCUCCUUGGUCUCUGGGUUCACGUCAUUGGGGAAUCCUUGGUGGAGGAGAAGACUUCAAUCAACAUAGUGCAUUGAUUCAUCCGUAGGAACCAAUCCAAGCCGAUAGUGAUAACAAGAAGACGGAAAUGUGAUUCGUCAAUCGUGCCCAUGGACCGAGCAUGGACCUGUGCCGUCUUGCAUUGAUGCCAAGUUGGAUUUUGAGUUCUGGAGGGCGUACAGGGAGCUGUUGUGAAGGCACAGCGGGUCAGGGGUCACGGGCUGGUUGAUGGUCUUCUGGAAGGCCUCCUGCUGGAGCUGCAUGAGGAUGCGGUUCGCCUGCUGCCGCUCAGCUUCUCGUUCCUCC